rnacentral:rRNA from 1 species
GACGGGGGGGGCAAGUGUUCUUCGGAAUGACUGGGUGUAAAGGGUGCGUAGGCGGCUUUGCAAGUCAGAAGUGAAAUCCAUGGGCUUAACCCAUGAACUGCUUUUGAAACUGCAGGGCUUGAGUGAAGUAGAGGUAGGCGGAAUUCCCGGUGUAGCGGUGAAAUGCGUAGAGAUCGGGAGGAACACCAGUGGCGAAGGCGGCCUACUGGGCUUUAACUGACGCUGAAGCACGAAAGCGUGGGUAGCAA